CUACAGUUCAAGUUAAAAGUUGAAGUUCUUGGUUACAAGUUGGAAUGUUGGAUCUCAUUGUGUUAUCAGUUAUUUGAAAAAGUUAAGAAAGUGAACAGCCCCAUCAAACAGGAUUUAGUGGACAUUUAGUGGACAUUUUUGUGGAUAUAACAAGGACGUCCAUUUAUGUGGUAAAGGAGUUCAUCAAAUCAGUGGCAGGAUUUGGCACCAUUUUGUAUGAGGUUACAAUAUACAAGUCAACAUGAAACUUUGGUAAUAGAAUACAGAGGUAAUACAAUAAACCUGAAUAUUGCCAACAUUUCUAACAUAACAAAACUGUCAACCAUCCUAAAAAUAAUGAUUCUUUAAUCUUUUAGGUUUGUGAAGGUGCCCAGUUGUUGCUGCUGCUGGUGUCAGCCAAUGGAGGUGAUUGGCUGAUUCUUGAUAUUGCCGUCAGGAGGUCCAUCCUUAGCUGUGCUGUGGCCUGAAGGUGUUGCUGGCUGACCCGAGCCAACAUCAUUUGGAAGUCGUCGGCCUGCCGACGGUGAAGUCGGUGCAUGGUCCUAUUCAAGCGUCGCAUCUCCCGUGCAAGGUGCCUCGUCUCCCUGGACAACCUGUCCCUUUCUUGGAGUACCCUAAGUUUUACCGUGUGCAUUACAUCUCAGUAAAGAUUACAUCAGUUAAGCAACCAGCAUGUCUUUCCUUGAGAUUCGGUAUAAACUUGAUGUGACGCUGUGUAACUUAAACAACAUACAGCAGAGCCAUUAUGUGAAGUGAUGGGAGAGUGUGACACUCAUCAAUCGGGAGCCAAGAGGGUAUGGGUAUCAGCUCGAUCCCUAUGAAAUCCCAGACUUUCUCCAGCUCCUCUGGGUGAUGUACAGAGAUGCGCUUACCAUCUUUCAGGAUGGAAAGGCCAAAGGGAUACAGCCACA